rnacentral:rRNA from 1 species
AUUGAACGCUGGCGGCAUGCCUUACACAUGCAAGUCGAACGGUAACGGGCCUCCGCGUGCCGACGAGUGGCGAAAGGGUGAGUAAUGCACCGGAACGUCCCUUUCAGUGGGGGAUAACGUAGCGCAAGUUACGCUCAUACCGCAGAUUCCGGGAGCAGGAAAGCAGGGGAUCGCAAGACCUUGCGCUGAUUGAGCGGCCGAUGUAAGAUUAGCUAGUUGGUGAGGUAAAGGCUCACCAGGGCGAUGAUCUGGAGCGGGUCUGCGAGGAUGGCCCGCCACACUGGGACGGAGACACGGCCCAGACUCCUACGGGAGGCAGCAGUGGGGAAUUUUGGACAAGGGGGGCAACCCCGGUCCAGCCAUGCCGCGUGAGUGAAGAAGGCCUUCGGGUUGUAAAGCUCUUUCGGCCGGGAAGAAAUCGCACAGGCUAAUACCUUGUGUGGAUGACGGUACCGGAAUAAGAAGCACCGGCUAACUACGUGCCAGCAGCCGCCGUAAAAC